rnacentral:rRNA from 1 species
UGGGCUUGACAUACAUCAGAUCGCUGCAGAGAUGUAGUUUCCCUUUGUGGUUGGUGUACAGGUGGUGCAUGGUUGUCGUCAGCUCGUGUCGUGAGAUGUUGGGUUAAGUCCCGCAACGAGCGCAACCCUUGUCUUAUGUUGCCAGCAUUUGGUUGGGGACUCAUGAGAGACUGCCGGGGUUAACUCGGAGGAAGGUGGGGAUGACGUCAAAUCAUCAUGCCCCUUA